ACUGCAAUGCCCGCACUUCCGGACCCCAGACUCUUCCUACGGCGACUGACACCUCAGACACGCGUUGUGGGGGGCGGCGCUCUGGCUCCGGGGCUGUGCCCAGCGCGAGCGUGGCCGGCACCCACUUGCUGCAGAGCCGGCACUGCACUGGGGUUCUUGGGGGCGGCUCCUCCAGACGUCUCUGCGGGUUGUCGGGUGCUGCCGAGUUGGGUUGGGGGACGCUACAGGUAGUGGGUCCGGAGCAGCGGCUGGCCCCUCAUCUCACUGCCCUUCCUCGGACCCCACCGUCCUCUGGAAGCUUGUGCAGGGCACCUGCCACUGUGACCACCUGGACGCAGUGGGUUGUUUUUUCCGUUUCCAUCUCUGGCUAGUCUUGAAGGCUAGACUUGCGUAGGAGAGCAGACACGAGGACAUGAGCCAGUUCUGCUGAGCUGUUACUGUAUACCUGCUUUCCCACAACAGCAAGGAAGAACCAUGGCCCAGUUUCUACGAGACUUUUCUGUGCCUCCUUUGCCCAUGCCAGGCCUCUUGCUAGGAAUAUCCUUCAGACAUCAGAUCAUUCUGUU
rnacentral:lncRNA from 1 species